AAGGGGAUGGUUUAGUUAAUUUGAAAUCUCGUUUCAACAAUCGAGACAAGUUCAUUCAAAUCAAGUAAGUACAGUAUAAUGCAAAAAUUGGGUUACAAGUCUCCAACAACUUCGGCGCUCAUCCGCACGACUCUGCGUCGAAUCAAGUUGGUGGUAAGCUUCAUUACCUAAUCCUCCGCCAAUUACAGCUUCUUUUGUUUCGUUGCUUAGAUGAACAGAACCAAUGCUCUUCUAACCAUCCUUACCCAAAUCAAAGCACUGCGCCAUACUCAACAGCUCCACGCGAAUGCUAUAGUCCAUGGACUCGAAGAAGAAGUCGUUCUCGGAUCCAGUCUCACAAACUCCUACAUCCAAUCGAAUCGUCUCGAUCUCGCCACCGCUUCCUUCGAUCGAAUCCCUCCCCGGAAGAGGAACCGUUACUCGUGGAACACGAUCCUCUCCGGUUACUCCAAAUCCAAGAAUCACUGCGAAAGCUUGCGUCUUUACAAUCGUAUGAGGAGGGAUUGCGAUGGCGUCGUCGACAGUUUCAAUUUAGUGUUCGCGAUCAAAGCUUGUGUGGGGUUAGGGGUUUUAGAGAAUGGGGUUCUGAUUCACGGAUUGUCGAUGAAGAAUGGGUUGGAUAAGGACGCUUAUGUGUCUCCUUCUUUGGUCGAGAUGUAUGGAGAGCUUGGUCGUAUGGAAGAUGCGCAGAAGGUGUUCGACGAAAUUACUCUGAGAAGCUCGGUUCUUUGGGGGGUUUUGAUGAAAGGGUAUUUGAGAUACUCGAGAGACUCUGAAGUGUUUCGUUUGUUUUAUCUCAUGAGAGAGGCGGGUUUGGGGGUCGAUAAUGCGCUUACGUUGAUAUGUUUGGUGAAGGCUUGUGGGAAUGUCUUUGCUGGUAAAGAAGGGAAGUCAGUGCACGGUUUAUCCAUCAGAAGGGGGUUUAUAGAUCAGAGUGGCUAUUUACAAGCCUCUGUUGUAGAUAUGUAUGUGAAAUGCAGGUUGUUGGAUAAUGCUAGAGAGAUGUUUGAAACAAGUGUUGAUAAGAAUGUGGUGAUGUGGACAACGCUGGUUUCUGGAUUUGCAAAGUGUGAGAGAGCUGUUGAAGCCUUUGAUCUGUUCAGGCAGAUGCUGAGAGAAUCUGUUCUUCCGAAUCAAUGUACUUUAGCGGCUCUUCUUGUUUCUUGCUCGAGCUUGGGGUCUCAGAGGCACGGGAGAAGUGUUCAUGGUUACAUGAUAAGAAACGAGAUUGAAAUGGACGCUGUAAAUUUUACAUCUUUCAUCGACAUGUACGCUAGAUGCGGGAACAUUCGAAUGGCUAGGAAGGUUUUCGAUAUGAUGCCAGAGAGAAAUGUGAUAUCUUGGAGCUCUAUGAUCAAUGCUUUUGGGAUAAAUGGUAUGUUAGAGGAAGCUCUGGAUUGUUUUGGUAAAAUGAAGUCGCGGAACCUAACUCCAAAUUCCGUGACAUAUGUCUCGCUUUUGUCGGCCUGUAGCCAUUCGGGAAACAUCAAAGAAGGACGGAAGCAGUUUGCGUCGAUGACAAGUGACUACAGGAUUGCACCAGAGGAAGAGCAUUACGCGUGUAUGGUAGACUUGCUAGGUCGAGCUGGUGAAGUUGGUGAAGCUAAGUCUUUUAUCAAUAACAUGCCUGUGAAACCAAUGGCCAGUGCUUGGGGAGCUCUUCUGAAUGCAUGUAGAAUCCAUAAAAAAAUCGACUUAGCAGAAGAAAUAGCAGAGAAGCUUUUAUCCAUGGGAUCCAAUGAAUCAAGCGUCUACGUGUUGCUUUCCAACAUAUAUGCUGAUGCUGGGAUGUGGGAGAUGGUGAAUAGUGUGAGAUCGAAAAUGGGUAUGAAAGGAUAUACGAAACCCAUGGGACUGUCUGCUAUAGAAGUCGCCUAGAAACAUUCAGCUAUUGAUCUUGCAGCCUAGUCAAAAUAAUACAAAUCGGGUAUACGUGAGCAAGCAUUCAAGUUCCCAACCACUUCACCGCUCAUCCGCACGGCUUCUUCAAAUCCGCGUCGAAGCAAGUUGUUGAUAAGCUUCAUCACCUAAUCCUCUGCCGAUUCACAUCACCGUCACAGGUAACGUCGCAGUCGUAAUUCUACGUUUGUGAAUCAGCUGCCUGAAAGAGGUUUUUGCUGUUCAACCUGAUUGCUUGGAUUCUCCGUUGCUCUUAAUUAGUUCGAACUAGGUUUCUUGGUUCCUCGGAAAUUUCAUCAGUAUCUGAUUGAGAAACAUUUCAUCCUAUGAAUGAGUUAGUUGAAGAAACUUUGAUCAAUUUUGAAUUUGUAAUUUGCAAAUGUUUCUCAAUGUUUAUUUAACACAAACAACAAAGUGACGUAUGAAUCCAAAUGUUUCUAGAAGCGUCUCAUUAACAUGUGAUGGUCAUUGUGUGCCAUGUAUGCAGUUGACCAUGGCAAAUGCUCCUGCACUUUGAUUUUUUUUCCUGUAAAUGCCACUCUGUUUUCCGAAGUUAUCGUCUCACAACGGAGGCAAUGCUAUAGGAUCUCUACGACUAGGGAAAUAUACUAGGUGGUUCAAUGAUGUUAAUUCAAGUGAAAUCUCUGACAAAUGCGAAAACAUCCUUAAGCUCUUAUCAAACAAUCAUGGUUGCGAAGUAAAGCAGGUAGUGGAAAUAGUGGUUCCUGAACUAGAAGAGAUGCGUGCAGCUCAUGUUGUGUCGAUCGGAUCUGCGGCACUGCGUUCUCUUACUCCUUACUGUGAGGCUGGGAAAAAUUCAAAAUUAUCUUAUGAUACUCGCACCAGUUUUGCGAUCUUCCGGUCUUUCUCUGCUUCAGACUAUAUUUCUUCUCAAUGUAUUAGGUAAAUGAUGACCAACAAGUGUAAACCUUCCAGAUUUGCCUUCAAUCACAUGAAUGUCUAAAGUUUUUGCAUACCUAAGGAGUUAAUAAGUUUGACUAA